AAAACGUAAGCUGCACACUAAACCAAACAAAUUACAAGCACAAGUCAAAAAUUCACAAGCUAAAACUUAAACAACCAUUGCGAUGCUCGCAAUAUCAAUUUACAAUCCCCGGCAACGGCGCCAAAUUGUUAGUUGUAAUUUUAAGUGUCGGGUUUUUGUUAUCGUAUCCACAGGGAUUGUAAGAUAUCACCGCCGUUCGAUGGUUGUAUUAAUUCUAGCUCAAUGUAACAAUAGGGUUUUGGUUGGUUG
rnacentral:lncRNA from 1 species